GCGAGAGUGGCGGAAUUGGUAGACGCGCUGGAUUUAGGAUCCAGUUCCCAAUGGAGUGGGGGUUCAAAUCCCCCCUUUCGCACCA
rnacentral:tRNA from 1 species